rnacentral:rRNA from 1 species
GUGAGGAAUUUUCCGCAAUGGGCGAAAGCCUGACGGAGCAAUGCCGCGUGAAGGAUGAAGGCCUAUGGGUUGUAAACUUCUUUUCUCAGAAAAGAAUUAUGACGGUAUCUGAGGAAUAAGCAUCGGCUAACUCUGUGCCAGCAGCCGCGGUAAGACAGAGGAUGCAAGCGUUAUCCGGAAUGAUUGGGCGUAAAGCGUCUGUAGGUUGUUUAAACAGUAUUCUGUCAAAGAUUAGGGCUUAACCAUAGAGAGGCAGAAUAAACUUUUAAGCUAGAGUUUGGUAGAGGCAGAGGGAAUUCCCGGUGGAGCGGUGAAAUGCGUAGAUAUCGGGAGGAACACCAAAGGCGAAGGCACUCUGCUGGGCCAAUACUAACACUGAGAGACGAAAGCGAGGGGAGCAAAUGGGAUUAGAAACCCUGGUAGUCC